rnacentral:lncRNA from 1 species
CCCGGUGGAUACUUUAAAAACUAUGUCUUAUCAUAGAAUUGUCAAAAAAAAAAAUGCUCGUGUUUAAAAAAAAAUAACCCUUGAACUGCACAAAAUGCUUCGGAUUUUUAAGUGACUCCAUCUCUACCCUCCUCAGGAUUUACCAGGGCUUGACACAGAUCAACAUGUGAGGCCUUCAUGUGUCAACAUGUUAAGAUGCUGGAACCAUGGAUGGAAGAGGCCCAGAGACCCACUCCAGUGACCGGAGGAUCACUGACCAAUCACGAAUCAAACUACCUCAGUUAUCGAGCAAUCAGAUGAAGACUUCAUAAAUUAACACUUGCCUGAUAGGAAACAACUAUUGGAUCGGUAAUUCCAUGUGGGUUGAGACUAAAUGACAGAGGAGUAGUCUAACUUCCCUGUUUGUGAACACAGAAGAUGUUCAUACAGUCAAGCAAGGAGCUUCUAAGGUAGCCUACCAAAAGGAAUUUUUAUUGUAUUUCCAUCAGGAAGGAAGAAAAUAUCCCUGCCAGAUGACAGCAGCUUACUGAAAUGAGCCUCCCCAUGCUAAACAACCCCCCUAUUCCUUUUCUGUUAUUAAAUCUUCCCUGGGUUUGCUUCUG